rnacentral:rRNA from 1 species
UACGUAGGGUGCAAGCGUUGUCCGGAAUUAUUGGGCGUAAAGAGCUCGUAGGCGGUCUGUCGCGUCGGCUGUGAAAUCCCGGAGCUCAACUCCGGGUCUGCAGUCGAUACGGGCAAACUGGAGUACUGCAGGGGAGACUGGAAUUCCUGGUGUAGCGGUGAAAUGCGCAGAUAUCAGGAGGAACACCGGUGGCGAAGGCGGGUCUCUGGGCAGUAACUGACGCUGAGGCUCGAAAGCAUGGGGAGCAAACAGG